rnacentral:lncRNA from 1 species
AUCGGAAAAGGGUGAUGUGGCCGCCGACGGCUAGGCCCAGCGUCACGGCCGGGUUGAGGUGGCCGCCGGAGAUGUGCAGCCCCGCCGCGAUCAUUGCCGCCACCACCAACCCAUGCGCUAGCGCCACUGCCGUCAGCCCCAUGAUCGUGUCUGUUCCCCCCGCCAUUUUUCCUGUAUCCUCAUGUAUCGUCUUGAAUGAAUACACAAAUUAUAUUGAAAAUAGUCUUUAAUUUUGAUCGUGCAAGUAUUAUUAUUUUUUUCAAGUUAAAAUAUUCAGAAUUUAUCUCAAUUAUUGACCAUUUUGAAUAUAAAUUAUAUAAUUUUGUAAAAGUUUUAAUUUUACUAUAUAAUCUUUCAAUUUGCUUGGAAUGAGCCAAUAAACAAUGAUUUAACUUCAAAUUUAAGCUAAUUACCGAUUUUAAUGAAUUUCUAGUUGCGAUAAUUAUGUGAAAUAUAUACGUUAAUUAAAUAUGUGAAAAUAAAUAAUACAUUCAACUUUUAAAGUCAAAAUAAUGUUGACUAACUCAAAUCAAAUAAAUUGAAAGAUUAGAUAGUCAAAUAAAAGGCAGUCCAUAGUUCGAAUAAAUUCUAUAUAUUUACUCCUUAAAAAAAUUAUUUAAUAUUAUUAUUUAAUAUGGUAUUAAAAUAUUUUCAUGCUAAAUGCGAAAAUAUGUGGGUCACACAGUGUUCCCUUUAAAUUUUCUUCUAUUUUGAAGAAUGCCAUUUUGUGAGAUUUGAACUAACGAUCACACACAACUCGAGAUGAUUAGUGUUAAAGUAUAUGAAACUGCUGUUAUACUUUAAAAACUACUCAAGCUAUUAGAAAAUAGUAUUUUUAAUAUUUUUAUUCAACACUCUAUCUCCCCCUCACGUUUGAACUCGAAAUAUUUUAAUACGCUCAAAAUAUGGACUUAAAUUAAAUAAAAGAAAAUCAAUUGUAUUAGAAGCUUGAUAUAUAUGAGGACCUUUUGUUCUGAUACUUUAUUAAAUUGUUUGAAUUUACAAUGUAAUGAACGAUGCAGGAAAAAAGUCAUGAAUUAUCCGCCACAUACCAGCGGCCAUGGCGGCGGCGACACCGGCGAAGACGAAGAGGAAGGUGAGGAUCACCUCGG